UGCCCAGUAACUCCUAUCCCUACUUCCUCGUGGUACUGGCCGGGGUACGAGUAACCUUGGGGAAGAUCGGGUAACCAACCCCCGGUGGGAACUUUGGUCGUAUGCUGACAGGGAAGG
rnacentral:ribozyme from 1 species